rnacentral:rRNA from 1 species
CCUACGGGUUGCAGCAGUGAGGAAUAUUGGACAAUGGAUGGAAAUCUGAUCCAGCCAUGCCGCGUGCAGGAAGACGGCCCUAUGGGUUGUAAACUGCUUUUCUACGGGAGCAAUAAGGUCUACGCGUAGACUGAUGAGAGUACCGUAGGAAUAAGCAUCGGCUAACUCCGUGCCAGCAGCCGCGGUAAUACGGAGGAUGCGAGCGUUAUCCGGAUUUAUUGGGUUUAAAGGGUGCGUAGGCGGCUUUUUAAGUCAGCGGUGAAAUUUUGCAGCUUAACUGUAACAGUGCCGUUGAUACUGG